GAUGAAGAACGCAGCGAAAUGCGAUAAGUAAUGUGAAUUGCAGAAUUCAGUGAAUCAUCGAAUCUUUGAACGCACCUUGCACCCUUUGGCAUUCCGAAGGGUAUGCUCGUUUGAGUGUCAUUGUACUCUCACACUUCCAAUCUUUGGAUUGGGAGCGGUGGACUUGGGUGUUGCUGCUUACUGUGGCUCACCUCAAAUCGAUUCGUGCACCUCUUGGUUGGACAUAGUACGGCGUGAUAAGUGUCUUCGCCGGCACCUCAGUAGAGGAUGGCUGGUCAGGAGCUCUGUGCUUCAAACCGUCCUCGGACAACAACUGACAACUUGACCUCAAAUCGAGUAGGACUACCCGCUGAACUUAAGCAUAUCAAUAAGCGGAGGA
rnacentral:misc_RNA from 1 species